UCAAAGAGAAACUAAUAUAAUUUAGUACACUGUGGAGGUGGGGAGAGAGAAAGAGAGUCUCAGACGUAGACACAAAGUGAAGUGAAAAACUCUUUUUGUUGUUUUUAUUGAAGGACGAAGUGGUGUGGGCUUCUUUUUUUUCUGUGGAGGUGUUUUCUUUGGUUUUUUUAGCUUGGGAAAAAUAAAAGGAAAAUUUUGAGGCUGUGAUGCUUCUUUGUAGAGACUGCAACUAAAAGCUUGUUCUGUUGUGUGGUUCUCUUUUCAAGUUGGUUCAUUCAGCAAGAAAGAAGAGAAAGAUUAUUUCUUGGUUCUGCUGGUACUUGUUUAUCUUCUCUCCUCUCUCCUCUCUCUAGCAUAUGUUAUAGGUGGGUUUAGCUGGUGCCGGUUCUUUAUUUUGAUUUUGUGAUUAAAGUAGUAGACGUGUGUUUGCGAUCCUGUGUUGUCAAAAGGGAUAACAUUUCUAUUGGAGAAGCUGAUUAUUGAGCUUUGAAUUGAUGAAAAGUUGAUUUCUUUUCCUUGGCAAUGGAAAUGAGGUUUUGAUUGAAGAAAGUAGAACUGGAAAUGGGAAGGUGUAGUAGAAACCAGAGAAUUUCUAUAUGUUUUGGAUGUCUUUGUUCUGGCCUUCAUGCAGCCGUAGGGGGAUAAUAAUGGAGAACUUAUCUGAGUCUGGCUGGCAUAAGUCUGAUAAUUCUAGGGGGUUAAGUAACAUCAUAAUCUCAGACUGGAAUUCAAUACCUGUAUCGCGUGAUUCUAGUUUUAGGAAGGAGCUUGAUAGGGUUGUGCUGGCGCGUCAUAACCUCAAAAACCAGGUUGGUUUGUCUGGGGGAUACAAGGAUGAAGUUGCAGUUGAUGUUUUCACCCGAGCCAUAGAAUGGGCUGAUUUUAGCUUGAGGCAAUGGUUGGACAAACCUGAAAGAUCUGUGGAUGAAUUUGAAUGUUUACAUAUAUUUAGGCAAAUAGUGGAGAUUGUGAAUGUAGCACAUUCACAAGGAAUUGUUGUUCAUAAUGUUCGCCCUUCUUGCUUUGUGAUUACAUCAUUUAACCAUGUCUCGUUUAUCGAGUCAGCUUCUUGUUCUGAUUCUGGGUCGGAUUCUUUAGAGGAUGGACCGAAUAGCCAAGCCUUGGAGACUAAAAAUGUAUCUUCUCCCUUGCCUAAUGACAUGUUCCCGCAGAGAAGUAGGUCAGGAAUUGAUGAUUUUCGGCCUGUACCUACUCCAACAAAUGCUUUAUCAGAAGCUAGCUGCAUUCAAUCAAGCUCAGGUCAUGGCACACAUGUACCAGUGGUGGAAGAGUCUGAAGAAGAUAAAAUCAGUGGUAUGAGGAACAUUGAACAGGAAGAAAAAGAAGAAGGAAAGAAGCAGCCCUUUCCAAUGAAGCAAAUAUUGCAAGUGGAGAGUAGUUGGUACACUAGUCCUGAAGAGGUUACUGGUUCACCAAUCUCUUGUGCUUCAGACAUCUACAGACUUGGAGUUCUUCUAUUCGAGUUGUUCUGCCCAUUCAGCUCAAGAGAAGACAAGAGCAGAACUAUGUCUAGUCUAAGACAUCGAGUUCUUCCUCCUCAACUACUACUGAAGUGGCCAAAACAAGCUUCAUUUUGUUUAUGGUUACUGCACCCUGAGCCUAGUAGUCGGCCGAAAACAAGUGAGUUGUUGGAGAGCGAGUUUCUAAAUGAACCAAGAGAGAAUUUGGAAGAGCGAGAAGCAGCAAUACAGCUUAGAGAGAGAAUAGAGGAGCAGGAUUUGUUACUGGAGUUCCUACUGCUGACACAGCAAAGGAAACAGGAAGCUGCUGAUAAGUUACAAGAUACACUUUCUCUUCUUUGUUCUGAUAUUGAAGAAGUUAUGAAGCAUCGAACGUUUCUUAAGAAAAAGGGUGGCUCAUGUCCAGAAAAAACGAAGGAUAAUAAUUUAGCUUCAAAUCUCCCUCCAUUGAGUAUUGUUGAUAAUGACGAAUCCUCUAGCUUGGGUUCAAGAAAACGAUUUCGACCAGGCAUUCAGAUUGUCAAUGAAGAGGAGUGUGAUGAUAAUCUAGAUGAUGGUCAGAACUUAGUUAUGAUCACAGAAACUCAAAAAAGUUUACUUUCUAAAAGUUCGCGAUUGAUGAAGAACUUUAAGAAACUAGAGUCAGCAUAUUUUAUGACAAGAUGCAGGCCAAUAAGGCCAUCAGGGAGACCUUACAUUAGACAUUCCCCAAUAAGUAGUGAUGGGAGAGGAUCUAUUGUUGUUACUGAGAGAAGCUCCAUUAAUAACUCAGCACCAAGAGAGCAUCAUAUUGAGAGUAGACAGAGUGGAUGGAUAAGUCCAUUUCUUGAAGGGUUGUGCAAGUACCUGUCUUUCAAUAAGUUAAAAGUUAAAGCUGAUUUGAAACAAGGGGAUUUGUUAAACUCUUCAAACCUAGUGUGCGCUCUUAGUUUUGAUCGUGAUGGAGAAUUUUUUGCUACAGCUGGUGUGAAUAAAAAGAUAAAAGUAUUUGAAUGUGAUACCAUAAUAAAUGAAAAUCGUGAUAUCCACUAUCCUGUUGUUGAAAUGGCAAGUAGGUCAAAACUAAGCAGUUUAUGUUGGAACAGUUACAUCAAAAGCCAGAUUGCUUCAAGUAACUUUGAAGGAGUGGUGCAGGUGUGGGAUGUCACAAGAAGUCAAGUGCUAAGUGAAAUGAGAGAACAUGAGAGACGUGUAUGGUCCGUUGACUUUUCAUCAGCAGAUCCAACAAUGUUGGCUAGCGGGAGCGAUGACUGUUCUGUUAGGCUAUGGAAUAUCAAUCAGGCAAUUCUAUUUUUGCACUUGGUGGAUGUCAGCUUUGAAACUAAACGGAGUAAGUAUUGGUACAAUUAGAACAAAGGCCAAUGUCUGUUCUGUUCAGUUUCCAUUGGAUUCUAGCCGUUCUCUCGCUUUUGGUUCAGCUGAUCAUAGAAUUUAUUAUUAUGACCUACGUAACUUAAAAGUUCCUUUAUGCACAUUGACUGGACACAAUAAAACUGUGAGUUAUGUGAGGUUUGUAGACUCAACAAACCUUGUUUCUGCAUCCACGGAUAACACAUUAAAGCUCUGGGAUUUGUCAAUGUGCACCUCUCGGGUUAUUGAUACUCCCCUUCAAUCAUUCACAGGCCACAUGAACAUAAAGAACUUCGUGGGUUUGUCAGUAUCAGAUGGUUAUAUUGCAACUGGCUCGGAAACAAAUGAGGUUUUCAUCUACCAUAAAGCUUUCCCCAUGCCAGCAUUGUCUUUCAAGUUCAACAACACUGAUCCUCUUUCUGGUAAUGAAAUUGAUGAUGCUUCACAAUUUAUUUCGUCAGUCUGCUGGCGCGGGCAGUCCUCUACCUUAGUUGCUGCAAAUUCUACUGGGAAUAUCAAAAUUUUGGAGAUGGUUUAACUUGAACUUAUGCUGUCCAAAUAUCAAAACAGAAUUGCAGAGAAGAGAAAAGACAGCUAUGGUGUUUGGAUAAAAUUUGAUUUCAGGACAAUAAUCUUGUACCAGAGGAAAUUGUGAAACUAAGAUAGGCAAGUGAUAUAGGAACUUGACGGUUGCGAUUAGAGAUACAAUUUUUGAGAUUAGAUGAUAGAGGAUGCAAAUUAUUGCAAUGAAAUACUCGGUAAUGAAACACUGUAUUGUAGAUAAAAUUCAGGGGGAAAAAGCACAUAAUUGAUUUUUCCUUGUAUAUUUUGCAAUGCUUAUAGUCAAUCAUUUUUUUUUUUGACAA